UAAACAAGAAGAAGAAAAAGAAAGAAGAUUUUGCGCUCUCAGUCGAUUUUCAUCAGGAGAGAGUUGAAGAAAGAGGUGAUGAAGACAAAACUGAUGGAGAGAGACAGUUUACAGAUGUGAUUGUGUUGAGUUUGUCAGGAGCUGGAAAAGGUUUCCUGUCAAUCUUCAGUGUGUGUGACUGAUGGGACCUCCACAGAAUGUCAGGAUUCAGUGUGGAGCGGCA